rnacentral:lncRNA from 1 species
UAGUUUAGAAACUUCAUAAUAAUGACAAUAACUUGCUAUGGUCAUGUACUGCAUACAUUUUCAUAUAUACAUCUUAAUAGCAUUUCAAUUUUUCUAUAAGUGCUAGUCGAAAAGUUUAUUUCCAGUCGAAGAGCGCCAUGUUGAACAAGUUGAUCGGAAGCGAAUGAAAUCGAUUUCAUCGUCAAUUCGUUGUGAUAUCAGAUUGAGAAGCUCCGUUGGGAGUUUAGACCAGUCUACCGCAGCCAUAGAUGCUUAUAGCAGAAGCUACAAGCAAAACCUAUAAAGAAUUAGAAGCUAUAAGCAUAACAUUUAAGAAGACACAAAAACAGAAGCAACAAGCAAAACAUACGAACAGGAGCUAUAAGCAGAAGCCGAAACUAUAAAUAAGAGCUAUAAGCAGAACAUAUAAAGAGAAGGUAUA